UCAACUUGCGUGCGGACGCUCCUCGCCCGCUCCUCCCUUCUUCCGUAGAGUCAGAGAGGCGACGGGAGAGAGACUGAGAGAAACGGCGCCCGCUCCUCCCUUCUUCCAUAGAGUCAGAGAGGCGACGGGAGAGAGACUGAGAGAAACGGCGAGGCCGUUGCUGCCUCCACCGGUCCACCCCUCGAUGCUCUGCGCCCACCGUUCGUCGCCGCCUCUCUCUCUCUCUCUCUCUCUCUCUCUCUCUCUCUCUCUCUCUCUCUCUCUCUCUCUCCUUUGGUUCAUGUGGGUCAAACCCCCAUAUUUGAAGUGCGGCUGUACAGAAAAGAUGAACUUCCCCUUUCACCGCACAUAAGUUGUUUGUGUUAAUGUGUACUAGGAGAAACCAAGCUGAUUGUGUUUAUCAACUUUAUUUUUCCACGGCAAUAUAUAUUAUCUAUUUGAAAGUUCACAUAUUGAUGUCAUCGAGCACUACAUCCGGUUUUACUUCGGUUAAAUGCUGAUUUCCAGAGAGGGUGUUUGCAUCUGAAAGUUGUUGCCGGUCUAGCAUAAGGAAAAUACAGAUAUGGACUUAUGAACAGUAUGAUGUACUAUUUACCUAAUUCAGUUUCUUUUAACUUUUUCAGCCAAAUACAUCAGAGAACUAUAACUAUUCAUUGAUGGGUCUGAUUUCGAGAUUACUUUCAGUUUGUCAAACUAGAUUAGUCAAUAGUUUUACUAUAAUAAUUUGACCCAGAUUUAGGGCCUGUUCGGAUUCCCUCCCCUCCGUGACUCUGCUCCUGGAGCAGCCGGAGCUGCAGUUCAGAUUUAUAGAUCGGGGAAACAGGUGCUCCUCGGAUCCUUGGAUUUGGUGGAGUUGGAGGUUUCCCGAACAGCUCCUUAAACAUACCCCUUUUUGUUCCGAUUGCAGGUGCUCCCGCGUGUCGACACCAACUUCACCUUCUCCUGCUUUGGUAAGUGUUUUAUCAACUUGGUCUCCUGUAGAAAGAGAUCUAUUUUUCUUGUACAGCAGAAUUUGUGGGUUUUCCAUGGGGUAUGCAAAAUUGUAAUCUGAAAAAUUGAGGCCUUUUGAUGCUUGAUGCUGAAACCAGUUAUGUUCUGUGACGAGGAACUGUUUAUCUCCUAGAAUUUAUAGUCGUUUAGAUGAUAUAGUACAUAACGUGUCUCACCAUGCUGGCCAAUCGUCACUUUUGAGCCAUUAAAUCAGCACAAAGUUUGCUUUUAAGAAUAUUCGUAUUUCAGUUCUGCUUGUUUUCAUUGUUUCUGAAUCUUGAUCAAAACAACGAGAUUUAUAGCCCCAUAACAUGGAUAAAUGGCCUUUGAGUUGCAUAUUUAAACCUUGCAAGUUCCCGUAAAUUUGAUGCUGUGUCAGGUUCCAUCUACUUGUAUGCUACUGGAAGCAUACAAACUCUACAUGUAAUGGAUCCUGACACGGUGAAGGGGCUGGCCAAUUGCAAGUCUUUGGAUCUUGGAAAGGUUGCUACUUGCAGAAAGAGCAUAGAGGGGGUAUGAGAAUUUUGAUGGCAAAUGGUGACAUGGGUGUACACUAACGGAAGGUCAUUUCACCUGAAUUAUUCAUGGAUAAAGUUAAGGUAAUUGUGUCUUCACCGGGAUAUUUUUCAUAGUUUGCGUGGUAUAGACACAUUUUUUUCAGGCAGAUAAUUGCUUCAAACAAAA